GUAGAGCGCACCCCUGAUAAGGGUGAGGUCCCUGGUUCAAGUCCAGGAUAGCCCACCUACUAUGAAUUCAGAGUCAGAUGGGGGUAUAGCUCAGUUGGUAGAGCGCUGCCUUUGCACGGCAGAAGUCAGCGGUUCGAGUCCGCUUACCUCCACUCUCUACAUGAAUUAAGAUUGAGGGUUUACCCGAACUAAAAAAGUAUAGAUAGCUAUUGAAUGAGAUAGUACAGCACCUAGAAGUCGUAAAAAAGGCUAUAGGAUGCUGGACGAAAGUUCAGUCAGAACCUAGAAAACUGCAUAGAGAAUCAGAAAAAAGGUAGAACCGUAACAGACAACUAAGUCAAAGU
rnacentral:tRNA from 1 species